rnacentral:rRNA from 1 species
AGCAGCCGCGGUAAUACGAAGGAUGCAAGCGUUAUUCGGAAUUAUUGGGCGUAAAGGGCGUGUAGGCGGAUUUUUAAGUCAGGUGUGAAAACUUUGAGCUCAACCCAGAGACUGCAUCUGAUACUGGAAGUCUUGAGUGCAGGAGAGGAGAGUGGAAUUCCUAGUGUAGCGGUGAAAUGCGUUGAGAUUAGGAGGAACACCGAUCGCGAAGGCAGCUAGCUAAGCUAUAACUGACGCUCAUGCACGAAAGCGUGGGGAUCAAACAGGAUUAGAUACCCUGGUAGUCCACGCUGUAAACGAUGGGUACUAGGUGUUGGGGGUGUCAAAUCAGUGCCGCAGUUAACACAUUAAGUACCCCGCCUGGGGAGUACGGUCGCAAGACUGAAACUCAAAGGAAUUGACGGGGGCCCGCACAAGCGGAGGAGCAUGUGGUUUAAUUCGACGCAACGCGAGGAACCUUACCAAGCCUUGACAUCCCUUUGACCGCUAAUCGGAGCUUUCUUCGGGCGGACAAAGGUGACAGGUGCUGCAUGGUUGUCGUCAGCUCGUGCCGUGAGGUGUCGGGUUAAGUCCCAUAACGAGCGCAACCCCUACCUUUAGUUGCCAUCAUUAAGUUGGGCACUCUAGAGGGACUGCCGGUGAUAAACCGGAGGAAGGUGGGGAUGACGUCAAAUCAUCAUGCCCCUUACGUCCAGGGCUACACACGUGCUACAAUGGCCGAUACAGAGGGCAGCUACCUGGUGACAGGAUGCAAAUCCCAAAGUCGGUCUCAGUUCGGAUCGGAGUCUGCAACCCGACUCCGUGAAGUUGGAUUCGCUAGUAAUCGCGCAUCAGCCAUGGCGCGGUGAAUACGUUCCCGGGCCUUGUACACACCGCCCGUCAAGCCAUGGAAGCUGGUAACACCCGAAGCCGGUGAUCUAACCUGUAGGGAAGAAGCCGUCGAAGGUGGGAUCAAUGAUUGGGGUGAAGUCGUAACAAGGUAGCC